GCCAAAGACUUUUGGACGAUAUCGGCCUUGCUGCUGACUGAAGGAACGCGGGUUUUCAGUCGAAGUAGCGAGUUGGAAUGGCAGCAGGCAAAUUACAGCUUGGGAACUCUCGGCUUCAGCUCGUUCGUGUUCGACAAGAGCGCCAGAUUAAGGCAGACGUUCUCUGCAGCCUUCGACCAUGACCACCCUGAACAGAACGUUAGCAGAGAUCGACUUUCCAAAAAUCCAGUAAAGAAAGAUUUAUACCAGGGAUUCGGUGCCCGAAGAACUUGGUCCGUGGGAAGCGUCCCGUUCCUGCCGUAUGUAAAGUCCCUCCCCACCAGGAUCAUCAGCCUUUUCAUGUACUUCCUCCAGCUUGCUUCUGCAACAGUCACCGUAUGUUUCUCAGUAUAUCGACUUGCCGAGCACGGCUUCAAUGCCCAAGGAAAAAACACUGAGCAAGCACUUACGGUGUUUUACGCGAUGAUGCUGGCAGAAACGUCGCUAUUCCUCCUGGAGAGAGCAUAUUGGGAAUUCAAGCUUCAUUACCAGAGGUUGCUGGAAGUAGCACUCUAACGUGUGAGCUUGAUCAAGUCGACAUUGAAACCAUGAAGCAGUACUGGUACACAUUGUACUCACGAUCGCUGAACGGAAGCGUGUUUGAUGGCCUGGGAAUGGACCUUAUCGAUUUCACCGUCGAGAAGCUGCAGUCAAGCAUAAGGGAAGAGCAGCUCGGUAGCGUCAACAUACUGUCAGCUCUUGUCUCAAAAGGAGAUUCAAUAAAAGAAACGCGACGGAGGAUGGAGUUGUGGAGAGACUCUUAGAGAUGAUCACCUGGAAGGAUCGUAGUGAGGCCGAAAUCAGGAAAGCUGCAACGAUAGUAAUCAGGCACCUGGUUCAUCACCGCCGUAACUGCUUCAGGAUUUCCGCUAUCCCUGGAUCCCUGGAGGCCCUCACUGCUCUUUUAGCCGCAAGAAAAGAAGAGGAAGUGCUAGAAGAAAAGAGCUACAGACUCACUAUCCUCAACGGGCUAGCCGUGGACCACAGGAUAUCCGUGCGAAUCGGUAACACCAGCGGACUUAUCUCCAUCCUGGUUGAAUUUAUCCAAGACGAACGAAGGAAAGAAGUAUGCCGUCAAUCACUCAAGCUUUUGAAGAAAUUGGCUCGCGUG
rnacentral:lncRNA from 1 species